CAGUCAACAAAGAUUCCACCAGGCUGAGUCAAGGAGGGUCAAGAAAUCCUCCGGCUUAGAGAAAGGACCCAGAUGUUUGACAAUGCUGGCAGCAGGAGGUGUAUUGAUCUGUUCUGGUGACAAGAAUGGCGUGGAGCUCUCAACAGCAACAGGUAAAACUGCAUGGUCUGCUUUGGG